UUUUAUUUCAGGAUAAUAAGGGAGUAUUAUGAUAUAUUUGUGAUAGAAAAGAGGCAUUGAGUUUGAGAAUCACUGCUCUGAGCAAAUGGCAGUUCCCUUUUUUCCUAAAAAUCAUAGGAUUUCAGGGUUAGAGGAGCCCUUGACAGUCACUCAGUCCUUUCCCCACUCCAUCUAGUAUUCAAAUCCAUGCAGUUGGAGGACCAAGGACCUUCACACACCUGUUUCCUUCCUCCUAUGAUGUGACCCUUUGGAGUUCCCAGGAUGGAACCCAGUGGGAAACAGGCCUGAAGGACCAAGGGCCCAGGCACAGUGAGCUUCACCAGAUGUUGGCAGGUAGUAUUAUAGAUAUUGGGAUCCAAGUGCCAUUCCAGAUCUCAUCCACUUAGAGACGUUGGCAUCAGCUCAGUGGAAAACCUAGUCUUACAUUGCAAGAGGAAAUACUGUACCCUCAGAGGCUCAGUCCAUAUCAAGGACCCCAUAAAUGCCGAGCUGGUGGACAAACGCACUGCAUCUCAGAACAUACCCUGGUGCUGGAGUUCUGAAUGACUCCAUGGCAUCUGAUCCUCAAGAAGCACUGGGCUAGGUGGAAAGUAAAUAGAUGGACUGGGGUCAUUAGGAAACUAGAGGCAACUAGGUGAAGAUGCCUGCUCUUGGCCGUUUAUUCCAGCAUCAAGCUUCAGUGACUUCAGAUUCUUAGAUGAAGGGGCUGUGUCGUGUCAGAAGGGCUGGCUUAGUGAGCUUCAGCCAGGGCCAGCCCCAGUGCCUCUGCUGACAGUGUCCCAAAGCUGCCUUGACAGUAGACGGACCUGAAAGGCACAAUGCUGGGUUAAACCACCUGCAACCAUGCUCAGAUCUUUCCCCCAUCUUUCUUCUCCGCUGCCCUCACUACCCCACGAACUUGCCCCUCAGUUGUUCCUUCCCAUGCCGUACGCCCUUUCCCCUGGAGAUGGACAGCUACACUCCACCUACUUCCCUCUAGCCCCCCUGGGCUGACACAGAGCCCUCUGUCUUCCUGUGGAAUGCAGUAGCAAUUCUGAGCAUGGUGCUGGACAAGAAGUCCAGCUCCCCUCGUAAACUUUAUAGCUUAGGAAAAUAAACAUGUGGUUUAAGGUCUUUGCAUAGGCGGUGCUCACUGAGUUUGAGCUUGCUUUACAGAACGACGAAAGAAAAUAUUGGUAGAGCUAAGAAAUUUCUGAGCCAGCCAAGGGACAGUAGUCCAGAAAUCUUGGGGAGGGUUUGAUGGUUCAGGCAAUAAAAUGAGGAGUCAUCUAUGUAACUGUUAUCUCACUCCCCUCUCUGCCUGCCUGAGUGAUGGAGCCAGGCUCCCUUGUUCCUUGGGGCAAGGAACCAGUACAGGGAUAGGGAAUCACAGUGUUUCCUAGCUGCAAGGGCCCUUGGAGAUGGUUUUACAGAUGAGGAAGCAGGGUCCAGAGAAAGGCAGUGAUCUGGGAACCACUGUACUUUUCAUACAAGCAACCUUCCGGACAUCUGCUAUGUGCUGUCCCAGCAUGGUGAGGGGCCCCAUGUACAGUAAUGGGAUCUGCAGAGGAGUGCUGCGCCCCAGCCUGCUAUCUGCAGGAGCCCGAGUGGGGUUCUGCGUAGUCUCAGGUCGCCAGCAAUGAUUUUCACAGUGUGACUGUGGUGUCUCAGGACCCUGGGACCCAGGACCACCAUCGUGACCACCUUCCUAGUCUUCACUGCUUCCUUUACACCUCAACUCCAAAGACCUCUCUGAGCUGCACGCAGUUCUGGGCUCUCGGAGUGGCAGAGGACUUGGGUGCCACGAGAGCACCAUGCUCAGCCUCCCCUGACCCUGACUCAAACAAAACUAUUAGAUGCAUCCCCUACCCUAUCUAUCUGUCUGAGGACUCUCUGAACCUUUCCACUGGUGGGAAUGUAAAGUCAUGCAGCCCUGUGGAAAGGAGUUUGGCAAUUCCUCAAAAGUGUAUUAUAUAGAAUGACUGUAUGACCCAGCAACUCCCCUCCUAGGCAUAUGCCCAAAAGAACUGAAAGCAAAUACUGGUGCAUGCAUGCUUAUGGGAGCAUUUUCCACACCAGCCAAAGGUGGAAACAGAUGUCUAUCGGCAGAUGAAUGGCUAGGCAAGGUGUAGUAUAUACAUAGAAUGAAAAACUAUUCAGCUAUAAAAAGGAAUGGAAUUCUGAUACAUGCAAUAACAUGGAUGAACUUCAGAAACAUGCUAGGCCUCUAAGCUAAGCUAACAUGCAAAGAAGCCAGAUACUGAAGGUCACAUUGUAUGAUUCUGCUUAUAUGAAAUACCUGGAAAGAGACAGAAAGCAGAUCAAUGGCUGCCAGGGCCUGGGAGGAGUGAUUGCUUCGUGGGUAUGGGUUUUCCCUUUGAGGUGAUGAAAAUAUUCUGCAACUAAAUAGAGGUAGUAGAUGCACAGCAUGGUGAAUGUUGGUCUUGAACUCCUGACCUAAAGUGCUACUAAACUGUGUGCUUUAAAAUGGUUAAUUUUAUGUUGUGUGAAUUUCACCUCUAAGAAUUUUUUUCUUUUUUUUUUUUGAAACUGAGUCUCACUCUGUUACCCAGGCUGGAGUGCAGUGGCGUAAUCUCAGCUCACUGCAACCUCCGCCUCCCGGGUUCAAGCGAUUCUCCUGCCUCAGCCUCCCAAGUAGCUGGGACUACAGGCGCCUGACACCACACCAAGCUAAUUUUUGUAUUUUUAGUAGAGACGGGGUUUUGCCAUGUUGGCCAGGCUGGUCUUGAACUCCUGACCUCAAGUGAUCUGCCCACCUCAGCCUCCCAAAGUGCUGGGAUUACAGGUAUGAGGCACCGGGCCUGGCCUAAGAAAAAAA